CCUCCCUUGUUUUCUCCCUCGUCCCGAUCCGAUCUUUGUGCGUAGGUGGUGACGCCAUCCAGGAAUCCGCCGAGAUGGGAGCGAAGGGAGACACGGCAUCGACCGCCGAGCACUGCCAUGGGACGAAUUAUAGUGGGGAAGAGACACCGCCCACCGCCGGGACUCGCUGUGGGAGGAGAUGCCGAGGAGAGACGCGACGUCCACCACCGAGCACCAUCACCGUUCGCCGACGGGACUCGCCAUGGGAAGAGCUACAGCGGGCUAGCGAGCAAGUGACGCCGUUCGCAGCCGGGACGCCCCAUGGGAGGAGCUGGAGCGGGCUAGCGACACCGACUGCACUGUCACGGGCGCGCUGUUGGGGAUGCGCCGAACGCCACCGGUGCCGCUGUCACCAACCCCCACCUCCCGUCCCGGUGCCCUCUCAUGCCCCCAUGACCGAAGCAUGGAGAAAAGCGAUCGGGGCACCAGUUCAACAUCGGCGCACUUCAGUUCUGCCAUUGUCGGCAGCUCCUCCUACAGCAGACUGCUAAAUUCAUGGUAAUCACUUCAUUGCGUUUAAAUCACUCAUUGCUUUGGCGUUCCUCAGUAAACAUUUGGUAGCUCCUCUACACGAUUGCUUUGGUUUUCGUCUGUAAUUUCAGUUAUGACUAGCUUGCUCUGUUUAUCUUGAUGCAGUCGUUCGUCGAUAUAGACUAUAUGCAUAGUGUAGUGUGAAGUGAAUGAUCAGUUGUAAUUUAUUCUACAUUUACAUAGCCUGCCCUCGUACAUUGAGCCACUGAUAGAGCAGUGCAAUGAGGGUAAAGGCAUGGUCCAAUAUUACUGAUGCAGCUCAGAAACAUAUAUUUGACGCAAUUAAGGUAUGUCUGGUUAAAAGUUCUAACAUUAUAACCUGAAUUUCUAUGCUGCUGUAUUUAUGAUACUCUGUUUUAUGAACAACUAUUUAUCACUAGUUCGAAAGUAUUGAUGAGAACAUUGCAAAAGAUGUGUACAAAGAUGAGAUAUUAGACCAUGUCAAGAAACUUUGGAUCAACUGGUGUGGAGACUUGCAUUGGCAUUCUGUGAAACCCAAGAAGACUAUGCAGGAGGCUUUGAAAAAGGUACGUAAAGAUAUUCCAAAGGAUGAUUGAGAAUGGCUUGUGAAGGAGCAUUUCUUCAGCAAGAAGUUUUUGGUAAGUUCUCAUGUUGCCUCUCAACUUUCAACCAUUGUGCAGUUGACAAUAUAAUCCUCUAACUACAGAAAAAGAGCAAGAGAAACACCCAAAACAGAGCGAACCUCAAAAUGCUGCAUCGACCUGGCAGUAAACCCCAGUAAACCCUUUAGAUGGAUAAUCUAGGACAUGGCUUUAACUUCUCUUGUUUUUCAUUUCCAAUAAUAUAAGAUCAGUGUGACUUGUCUUGCCAUUUUAUUUCUACUAUAAUAAUUGCCGCUUGCCCAUGUUGGAACAGGGAGGAAAGGAUAACAAGCCAUCGAGUAUGGAUAAACUAUCUUCAUAGACAGACAAGAAGGGUGCAUCCUUUGCUGAUUCUACAACCUCCGCCAAACAUCUUCUGAGCAAGCGAAACAAGUACUCGAACGAAGAGGUCCAUGGCAUGGUGCAAGAAGUGUCAAGUAAUAGUUCUCAUGAAAGCUAACAUGAUCAAGACUCAUGGUCCACCAUAAUAUAUAGAAGCAUAAGAAGGCAUUUUAAUUGUUGAUGAAGAAUGAUACCCAUUGGAAUAAAGAUGGUGUUCCUAAUGGCGUUCCCGCAUUGAAGAUUAAUAAAUAUUAUCUUUUCUAGUUGUCUCAUUUCCAAGAUAGAGAUGAUCAAGUACAUUGGUCAUAUAAGGAGUGCUUUUGACUCAAAUUUCUUGAAUGAUAUUUCUGUUUCAGAAUUGUAUGUCGGAAUAUUGGUAUUUCUAUUAAUAAAUGAGACUUUGAUCCUUUCAAUUCA